UCUAAAAUAUAGAACAACAAAGAAAGACUGACGACAGUGUUUAGAGAGAGAGAGAGAGACAGAGCGAGAGAGAGGGAGGACUCAGAUCUAGAUUUAGAUCCGUAUCUAGAUCAAGAUCGAUCAAGGCCGACGGAUUUGAAUUUCAAUUUCUCACUCAAACAUGAAGUUUGAUCUGUAAAUUCAGCAAUUUGGGUUUCACACAAUGAAGACCAAGAGAAAGAUUCGUAAUGUAAAGACAUAAACUAUAGGUAACACGAGAGCAAAAAACUCAAGGUCAGGAAGAGAGAUGAAGACCAAGAAUAUAGCAAAGGAGAAAAUACUAUUUUGUGCUGUACUGCAAAAUCAAUCUCAUAACUUGUUAUGAAAGUUGAAGGUGUUUUUGUGUGUAGGACGUUAAUCAAGUAUAACAUUGAAAAUGCUAUUACAAAAUAAUAAGGUUGCAAAUAUUACUGUU